GGGGAUAUGGUCUAGUGGUAUGACAUUCCAUUUGCAUUGGAAAGGUCUCGCGUUCGAUCCGCGAUUUCUCCA